CCCUAGGGGGUGCUAAUAAUGACAAGUCGAACGCACUCUCGUUAGAUUGAAGAAGCUUGCUUCUGAUUGAUAACAUUUGAGUGAGUGGCGGACGGGUGAGUAACACGUGGGUAACCUGCCCUAAAGUGGGGGAUAACAUUUGGAAACAGAUGCUAAUACCGCAUAAAACCUAGCACCGCAUGGUGCAAGGUUGAAAGAUGGUUUCGGCUAUCACUUUAGGAUGGACCCGCGGUGCAUUAGUUAGUUGGUGAGGUAAAGGCUCACCAAGACCGUGAUGCAUAGCCGACCUGAGAGGGUAAUCGGCCACACUGGGACUGAGACACGGCCCAGACUCCUACGGGAGGCAGCAGUAGGGAAUCUUCCACAAUGGACGAAAGUCUGAUGGAGCAACGCCGCGUGAGUGAAGAAGGUUUUCGGAUCGUAAAACUCUGUUGUUGGAGAAGAACGUAUUUGAUAGUAACUGAUCAGGUAGUGACGGUAUCCAACCAGAAAGCCACGGCUAACUACGUGCCAGCAGCCGCGGUAAUACGUAGGUGGCAAGCGUUGUCCGGAUUUAUUGGGCGUAAAGCGAGCGCAGGCGGUUUCUUAAGUCUGAUGUGAAAGCCUUCGGCUCAACCGAAGAAGUGCAUCGGAAACUGGGAAACUUGAGUGCAGAAGAGGACAGUGGAACUCCAUGUGUAGCGGUGAAAUGCGUAGAUAUAUGGAAGAACACCAGUGGCGAAGGCGGCUGUCUGGUCUGUAACUGACGCUGAGGCUCGAAAGCAUGGGUAGCAAACAGGAUUAGAUACCCUGGUAGUCCAUGCCGUAAACGAUGAGUGCUAGGUGUUGGAGGGUUUCCGCCCUUCAGUGCCGCAGCUAACGCAUUAAGCACUCCGCCUGGGGAGUACGACCGCAAGGUUGAAACUCAAAGGAAUUGACGGGCGCCCGCACAAGCGGUGGAGCAUGUGGUUUAAUUCGAAGCAACGCGAAGAACCUUACCAGGUCUUGACAUCCUUUGACCACUCUAGAGAUAGAGCUUUCCCUUCGGGGACAAAGUGACAGGUGGUGCAUGGUUGUCGUCAGCUCGUGUCGUGAGAUGUUGGGUUAAGUCCCGCAACGACCGCACCCUUAUUACUAGUUGCCAGCAUUUAGUUGGGCCCUCUAGUGAGACUGCCGGGGACAACCGGAGGAAGGGGGGGACAAC
rnacentral:rRNA from 1 species